GUCUACUUAACACUCGCAAAACCGCGAGCGUCAUUCUAUCUUUGUUGCUCGAGGCGUUGCGAGAGUUAAGUAGACCAAACUAAUCAACCAAACGCUACCAUGAUCACGAAACGAAAAAACGCCUCUGUUGGCCGUUGCAUCGACUCCUUUUGUUUCGUUUGUUCAACAGUUUAAUCGUAGUCAAUAAACUGUCUAAGGAUAUGCGGGCUCGAUAGAAGAAGUUAUGUUCAAAGUCAACUUCCUGACAUAUACCUAAUCCUAGACACAAUGUUGUUAUUAUUUUAGUCUUCAAAUACAAAUAUAUUCAAACAUUCAGCGUGAAACAUGAUAUGUAUCUUAUAUUGUUAUAUAUCAUGUUAGAAUAUUUUAUGUUGAAAGUUUAAACACUGAAGGCCGGUUUUUUCAAUGAUAGUUUAAACUUGGAUUCUAGUUUAGCUUCUAACAAUGCUUUUAUUUUAUUUGAACAGAGUUUAAGUUGAAAUCUAAGUUUAAACUAUCAUUGAAAAACUGCCCCUUAAAGACCAAAAAUAAUGAGAACGUUCAGAAGUAGUCACGUGACAUUGAUAAUUUUACAUUGUGCGUCAAUUAAUUUCGAUAACGAUCGGCGGGCAACUCGUCGCGACAUUCAACCCAUUAGACAUAGUUGUGAAGAAGAAAGUUAAUCAAUAUAAGUACAUAAAUUAGUUAGCAUUAAAUGGCUAGCCUCGGGGUCUCAAGUGACAUAUACUCAGCACGAUUUUUACACCAAGACUAUAAAUGAAUUUAAUCUCUAUAAUAAGCAACAUAGGGUGGUUGGCUCUGUCCAGGAAACGAUUGAUCUUAAAUUGGCAUGGAUAGAAAACUGAAAAACGCAACACGAGUAUCGCAUCUAUUCGUUCAAUGAAACGCUGAGGAUUACACUCAGUGACCUCAAUUUGAUAACGGGCAAAAUUACACGGAGGAUGUAUUUAUAAUUCGUUUUUAAAAUAUUGUUGACAUGCAGUAUUAAACUGCAUAAAGUGUUACGAUUAUUAUAACUACAAAAACACGAUAUAUAUUUCUUACUCUUUUGUGUCCAUCAAUGACUUAUUGCUGGUAUAGAUAACAAUAUACAACCUUUGUUUUGUUGUUAUUUUUUCUUUAAUAAAAUUUAUAAUUUUGCUGCCCGAUAA